rnacentral:rRNA from 1 species
AAAGGAAUAGACGGGGGCCCGCACAAGCAGUGGAGUAUGUGGUUUAAUUCGAAGCAACGCGAAGAACCUUACCGGGGCUUGACAUGGGGAUGACCGCUUCAGAGAUGGAGCUUUCCUUCGGGACAUCCCACACAGGUGGUGCAUGGUUGUCGUCAGCUCGUGUCGUGAGAUGUUGGGUUAAGUCCCGCAACGAGCGCAACCCCUAUUAUUAGUUGCUACGUAAGAGCACUCUAAUGAGACUGCCGUUGACAAAACGGAGGAAGGUGGGGAUGACGUCAAAUCAUCAUGCCCUUUAUGUCCCGGGCUACACACGUACUACAAUGGCACUUAACAAUGGGUCGCGAAGCCGCGAGGCGGAGCUAAUCCCCAAAAAGUGCCUCAGUUCAGAUUGCAGGCUGCAACUCGCCUGCAUGAAGUUGGAAUUGCUAGUAAUCGCGAAUCAGCAUGUCGCGGUGAAUACGUUCCCGGGCCUUGUACACACCGCCCGU